AAACUUCAAGCGCGCAAAGCAUUAUGGGAGCACGAUUUCAGCAGUUUACAAAGCAUAUAUAGAACCCAUUUCUUGGAGACAUGAUAAAUAUCUCCCUACAAAAACAUUUCAUUGACAAACAGCUGCAAUAAUCAACUACUAGGCUUGAAUCAGUGAUCCCAUCAUGCUUUGCGCGCUUAGAGUUUAAGGUUUAAGGUUUUAAA